GAUGAACGCUAGCGGCAGGCUUAAUACAUGCAAGUCGAACGAACAGCAAUGUUAGUGGCGCACGGGUGCGUAACGCGUAUGCAACUUGCCUUUAACUGGGGGAUAACGGUUUCGAAAGAGGCGCUAAUACCGGAUGAUGUCGAAAGACCAAAGAUUUAUCGCCCAAGGAUGAGCCCGCGUAGGAUUAGCUAGUUGGUGAGGUAAAGGCUCACCAAGGCAACGAUCCUUAGCUGGUCUGAGAGGAUGAUCAGCCACACUGGGACUGAGACACGGCCCAGACUCCUACGGGAGGCAGCAGUGGGGAAUAUUGGACAAUGGGCGAAAGCCUGAUCCAGCAAUGCCGCGUGAGUGAUGAAAGCCUUAGGGUUGUAAAGCUCUUUUGCCCGGGAUGAUAAUGACAGUACCGGGAGAAUAAGCCCCGGCUAACUCCGUG
rnacentral:rRNA from 1 species